GGGGCUGUGGCUCAGUGGCAGAGUGCUUGCCUAGCAUGUAUGGGGCACUGGUUCAAUUCUCAGCACCA
rnacentral:tRNA from 1 species